UACAGAGGUGGCAAGCGUUGUUCGGAAUUACUGGGCGUAAAGGGCGAGUAGGCGGCCUUCUAAGUCAGACGUGAAAUCCCCCGGCUUAACCUGGGAACUGCGUCUGAUACUGGGAGGCUAGAGUAUGGGAGAGGGAUGUAGAAUUCCAGGUGUAGCGGUGAAAUGCGUAGAUAUCUGGAGGAAUACCGGUGGCGAAGGCGGCAUCCUGGACCAUUACUGACGCUGAAUCGCGAAAGCUAGGGGAGCAAACGGG
rnacentral:rRNA from 1 species